ACCUAAAAUCUAGGAUAAGGAACAAAGGAAAAAACCGGUAAAAUCCCAUAAAAAUUCUGUGCACGGGAGUCCGGACGAAGACGCAGGACGCCAGAACAUCGUAACCAGCUUUGGGAACAUGGACUGAUUGUGCAACGACCCCCGUUGGACUUAAAAAUACACAAAGUUAAACCUGGGGAUUGGAUAUUGAUUAAAGUGUGGAAGGAAGAAACCUUAAAACCCAAUUGGGAGGGACCUUAUCUCGUUUUGUUGACAACAGAAACAGCUGUCCGGACUGCUGAGCGUGGAUGGACUCAUGCCAGCCGCAUUAAAGGCCCAGUGACGAGACCCCACUGGAAAGUAAUCAGUACUCCAGGUGACACCAAGAUAAC